rnacentral:tRNA from 1 species
ACGACAUCAAACAAUGGUAGAGCGGAGGACUGUAGAUGUAGAAUAGAAUUCCUUAGGUCACUGGUUCGAAUCCGGUUGGUCGGA